rnacentral:misc_RNA from 1 species
GUGAAUCAUCGAAUUUUUGAACGCAAAUUGCACUCUCUGGGGAGAGGAUGACUGUUUGUGGGUCAGCCUAAAAAAAAUCGACAUAGUUGCUGUUACGAGGUAACAUUAGACGGAAAUUGGGUCAACUUAAACCUUUGGGUUUAAGCGGCUUAAAAUUGUAUUUACGAUGCCAAGUAGGAUUCUAAAAUUUUGUUU